rnacentral:lncRNA from 1 species
UAAAAUAGACUUCAGAGAACUGCCUCCAGCUUCCACUCUGCUGGCAUGUGAGGACACAGCCUUUGGUCCCCUCGUCAAGUGAGAGAGAACACGGCGUUUGUCCUCUCCACAGGGCACAGCAGCAACAAGGCGCCAUCUUGGAAGCAGAGAGCAGCUCCCUCCCUGCUCACGCUUGGAAACUUCCAAACUCUCCUCUCCUAGAUUCAAACAAGAAGAGAAAUUCCGGAUUCUUUCUUCUCAUGGUCAUUUGAACCCCUCCUACUGUGAGAACUCCAGCCCACCUGCACACCCUCUUUGGAGCACACCACCGAGACUCCUGUUCACUGCUCCAACUGAGAGCUCCCUCUUGAUUUCUGGGAACUGGUUUCACUUUCUUGCUUUUUUGUCUUGGCUCAAUUUUUAAAUUUAAAGAACAGGUGCAGUGGCUCACACCUGUAAUCCCAGCACUUUGGGAGGCCAAGACAGAAGGAUCCUUUGAAGCCAGGAGUUUGAAACAAGCCCGGACAACACAGCAAGACUCCAUUUCUACAAAAAAAAAUAAUAAUAAUUAUCUGGGUGUGGUGGCAUGCACCUG